CAAGUUCCAUCAGACGACGACGUUUUCGUCAUCGUUUCGUUUGUGUUUUGCCUUUCAUAGUAAGGAAAAGUUAUAAUUUCGCAGUAAAUCUCAGCACAUAUGAGAUAGAAAUCAGAUAUAGAUAUUUCUCGAGCUCUGAAGAUGGGAACUUUGCUCUAUGUAUAAUCCUCCCACAAUAAAAGGUUGAAUUGAACUUAUUGCGAGACAACAGUCAGCCACCCAACUGUCGAGAAUUCGGAAGCUCCGAUCUUGCCUUUCCUUGCCUAACAUCUCAUAAAACUUCCAGGACUUAAGAAAACAUUUUGACAAAAGGAUUGCAGUAUCUCGAUUGUAUUCGUAGCCUAGGUAGUUGUAAGUAUUUUCAAUCAGAUGGCAUCUUGAACAGUAUUUUUCACGAUCUCAACUGGUUGAAGAAUAACAGGCUCCUACAUAUUAUUACGCUACCAGACAAAUGGUUUAUUUCGGAUGAAUGUGAGUUUUAUUGCAGUGAUUAUAGCAAUAAUCCUUUUUUGAGUUGUUAUUUUCACAUAUAUCUUAUUCUAAUAAUGUUUAUGGUAGCAUCUACUUUUCGCUCCAUAAAAGCCUUUUGUAAACUAAAUGGAAUACCGUAAUAAGAGAGAAACAUUCCUCGAUAUGAUCUGGGCCCUCAAGUAUACGACCAAAACAGAGCUCGUAAAAGUUACUCCCAAUUUUAUAGUGCUUAUAUCCACAUACUGUUUUGCACUUCGGAGACCCUUCGUUUUAUCACUUCAAAAUAUGCGCCGCUCAGAAACAAUCUCAAAUGUCAUCCAGUAAUAAAAACUGUAACCCAUGUUUUCCUGCUCUUCCAAAAGUUCGUACAUGCAAAUUACGGGAAACGAAUCGUUUCGCUC